UGAGCAAUCUGCCCUUCUCAUCGGAAUAAGCGUUGGAAACGACGUCUAAUGCCGAAUACGACCUCCUUUCGCAUGAUCGGAGGUGGAAAGCUCCGGCGGAGAAGGAUGAGCUCGCGGCCUAUCAGCUAGUUGGUGUGGGUAAUGGCUCACCAAGGCGACGACGGGUAGCCGGCCUGAGAGGGGUGACCCGGCCACACUGGGACUGAGACACGGCCCAGACUCCGUAGGGA
rnacentral:rRNA from 1 species